CCCAGACUCCUACGGGAGGCAGCAGUGGGGAAUAUUGCACAAUGGGGGAAACCCUGAUGCAGCGACGCCGCGUGAGUGAAGAAGUAUUUCGGUAUGUAAAGCUCUAUCAGCAGGGAAGAAAAUGACGGUACCUGAUUAAGAAGCCCCGGCUAACUACGUGCCAGCAGCCGCGGUAAUACGUAGGGGGCAAGCGUUAUCCGGAUUUACUGGGUGUAAAGGGAGCGUAGACGGCGAGGUAAGCCUGAAGUGGAAGCCCGCGGCCCAACCGCGGAACUGCAUUUGAAACUGUUGAUCUUGAGUACUGGAGAGGCAGACGGAAUUCCUAGUGUAGCGGUGAAAUGCGUAGAUAUUAGGAGGAACACCAGUGGCGAAGGCGGUCUGCUGGACAGCAACUGACGGUGAGGCGCGAAAGCGUGGGGAGCAAACAGGAUUAGAUACCCGAGUAGA
rnacentral:rRNA from 1 species